rnacentral:rRNA from 1 species
GACGAACGCUCGCGGCGUGCUUAACACAUGCAAGUUGAACGGAAAGGCCCUGCUUUUGUGGGGUGCUCGAGUGGCGAACGGGUGAGUAACACGUGAGUAACCUGCCCUUGACUUUGGGAUAACUUCAGGAAACUGGGGCUCAUACCGGAUAGGAGCUCCUGCUGCAUGGUGGGGGUUGGAAAGUUUCGGCGGUUGGGGAUGGACUCGCGGCUUAUCAGCUUGUUGGUGGGGUAGUGGCUUACCAAGGUUUUGACGGGUAGCCGGCCUGAGAGGGUGACCGGCCACAUUGGGACUGAGAUACGGCCCAGACUCCUACGGGAGGCAGCAGUGGGGAAUAUUGCACGAUGGGCGGAAGCCUGAUGCAGCAACGCCGCGUGCGGGAUGACGGCCUUCGGGUUGUAAGCCGCUUUCGCCUGUAACGAAGCGUGAGUGACGGUAAUGGGUAGAGGGUCACCGGCUAACUACAUG